GUAGCAAGCUGCUGCUUGGUCCUUCAUGUAAGACUCGUUGGGAAGUUCUAGUGUGUUCCACUUAGAAACAGACAAACAAAAAUUGGAAAUUGGUGGUCUGUGGUGGACCCUAAAGGAAAGGCAAUCCCAGCCUGUCAUCCACUGGUUCUCACUCAUUUUCAAUGCACCUAACCAUGGACAACUCUGCCCUACACCACCACCCUGAAGACAGGAUUUUUUUAGGACCAGUUUAUCUUCCCUCCACUGUUUAUUCACUCCCAGCACUUUGCAAGUUCUUUUUGGUCUCAAUAGGUCCGAGGAAAACUGAAGAGUCUCUGGCAUAUCCUCCAGUGCUGCCACACUGUCCACAGGGGUUACGUGUGUGUUGGGAGGCUGAUGGUCUCAGGACCCUGAACCACAGAGUGAAACUUCUUUUCACAUGAAAAGUAAAAAGCAAUCUAGCUGUCUCCUCAAGGUAAGAAGCUGACCAACAGUUAGCCCUAUUCCUGUCUCCUUCCCCCAACUUGCCUUACCGUGUCCCUGCAUGGACAGAACCAAUGUUCCUGAGAAAGCAUCCUGCAUCUGCAGCCAAGCUCUUGAGACAUCCAGACUCCUGUUUAUGAGAGACCUCUGCAAGGAGGGCCCAGCUUGUCUGUGCCAUCUGGAGGCCUUCAGCUCUGGUAGUCCUGUUGACUGUCUCCCCUCAAGGCUGCUUGCCAUUGUACAACACCCGAUGUCCAGAAAGAUGGAAGAAGAGAAGCUGCCUGAGAGUUCAAUGUCACCCCAAAAGAAACCAAAGCUAGCUGAAAUCAAGAGAAAGAAACGUGUUAGAUCAGUCUUACCCCACCAAAGGGACAGGCAAAGAAAACCCUCUUCCUCUCAAAAUGCAGAUGAGGAGAUGUUCAAAUGUGAAUGUCACUGCUGCCAGAAGUAUGUGGGAAACACGUCUGGAAUGUCUGCGGGGACCAGGACAGAAGCAACCUCUCCUUCACCCUCCUUAUAAAAGCUGACAUUAGAUCCCAGUGUCUUAACACUCAACCCAAGUACCACCCAGACCCUCUUAUGCAAGAAAGAACACAGAAAAUAGAAAAUGACAAUGUGCAUUGCAAACUGAGAAGCGAAAGGAUAUUUUUUUUUAUUAGUUCAAAUUAGGAACAAGCUUGCUUCACAUGUUAAUCCCUUCUCCCUCUCUCUCCCCUUCCCUCAACCUCCCCCUACUCUAUUUCCCCUCCGCUCCCCAGGGAGGGUAGGGCCCUCCAUGGAGGCUCCCCAAAGUCCACCACAUCAUCCUGGGCCAGGCCUAGGCCCCCCCAAUGUGUCCAGGCCAAGAGAGAAUCCCUUCAUGUGGGAUGGGCUCUCAAAGACCCUUCUUACACCAGGGAAAAAUAUUGAUCUUCUACUACUAGAGGCCCCAUAGAGUGUAGAGGCCUCCUCAUUGACAUCCAUGUUCAGGGCUCUGGAUCAGUCUCGUUCUGGCCUCCCAGACAGCAGUCUGGGGUCCAUGUGCUCCCCCUUGUUCAAGUCAGCUGGCGAAAGGGUAUUUAAAAGGCUCUCCAGGAAUGGACAGAAUGACUGUGGACUUAUCAACCUCCUUUCAAUAAGAUCAGAGCCUACAGGAUCAUGAAUCUUUUUGGGAGCAUGGUUAGGAGGAGUACCAAUGUCCAGUCUGGUGAUAAUAACACCAUCACAUGGAGAGACUCCAACCUAUUCUAGAAAUGUUGCAUUCCUUUCCUUAGUAUUUUUGGCAUCCUUCCUGGGACAUUCUGGGCAGAGCAGCUCCCAGGCAAGGGCAAGCACAUAGCGAUGGUUCUAUCUUCCCCAUACUGUUGUUCCCAUGGGUACAGACUCUGGUGAGGUAUCCAACAUCCUUGUUGGCAUAUCAACAGUGGCAUCAAUACUACCAAUCCAGAACAUAUGCCAGACAACUGCUUAAACCAGAACAUUCCUGAAUAUAAUGCCAACACCCAGAGUUCUCCAAGCAGGAGUAUGCAGCGUGCCAAAUCAAGGUUCUUACUCCCAUAUUAACCAGACCUUGAAGGAGGAGGUGUCACCAACUUGUCAGUGACUAUUGAUCUGACAGCUACACAUGAGGACAAAGAGAGGCUUGACCGCUGUACAGCAUUAGGUCUGAUGUGUGAGGGCUGUCAGGUAGCCAUUCUUCAAUAUCUGGAAUUUUUCCAGCACCAGAAAGAGGAGCUGUCUGUUGUGCCAGACAGUGGGAAACAACAUGCAAGAACCACACCUACAUUAAGAAAUUCCUUCAGACAUUAUAUCACUGUAUUUCUUCAGCAUCUUUCAUUCCAGUGAUGCCCAUAAGCCUACGUUGGCCUUUAAGAUAGAGAUGGUUAUGGAAUAAGGGAAUUGGCUGAUUGGAGCAGAUCUUCAAUCCUCUACCGAAUUUAUUGGCAUGAUGGUCUUCAUCAGUAUAGUCUUAUUCCUACUGAGCUCAACCAGAGGUUUAAAUAUAUGAAUUCUGGUGAAUUGUAAUACUGAAUGGUAGCAGUGAAUGUCAUCUGUUGGAAUAGGAAGUCUCCAGUCCAUGGCUUUACCCAUUUCUAAUUCUGAGCUUCCGUGCUCAUUACUUAUGCUGUCUUUGCAUUUCAGUUGUGUAACCCAAUGCAAAACGGAAUGCUCUGCUAAUGCAGGACACCCACAAGCAGCUUUUAGAGAGGGGCUUCUGGAUGAAGCAGCAUGCUUCAGUGCUGGAAGAGGGUAUCUUGAACCAUAAAACAACAGUAGUGGCCGUCUUUUUGUCUCCUAUGAUGUAUGCUGGGCCAACUGAGGAAGGCUGCUUGUAGGAUGUCAGUGCAGUGCUAAAGUCACUGUUGUGAACACCAUAACCUCACCACCCUUCCUGUUGGCUUUUCCCUGAUGGCUAGCUUGCUGUACAGACUGCUGCCAUGCCGGCUGGCUAGGUCACUCUAGUCCCAGAGCAGAGGACAGACGCUGUGUGACUUUGGCUUUUUCUGAUUUUUUCAA
rnacentral:lncRNA from 1 species